rnacentral:rRNA from 1 species
CCCUGCCUUUUGUACACACCGCCCGUCGCUACUACCGAUUGAAUGGUUUAGUGAGGCCUCGGGACUGGCGCGCCAGAGCAGCAAUGCACUUGCGCGCCGGGAACUUGGUCAAACUUGAUCAUUUAGAG